GGGAACCUCACCCGGCCCGGACACCGCGAGGAUUGACAGACUGAGAGCUCUUUCUCGAUUCGGUGGGUGGUGGUGCAUGGCCGUUCUUAGUUGGUGGAGCGAUCUGUCUGGUUAAUUCCGAUAACGAACGAGACCCCAACCUGCUAACUAGCCCUCGGGUCCUGCUUCUGUUGGCCCGACGGAAUGAUUCGCUUCUUAGAGGGACUCGCGGCGCCUAGCCGCACGAAGGGGGGCGAUAA
rnacentral:rRNA from 1 species